GGACACCUCGGGGGUUUCCUGCUUUAUGGCGAAGGACGGAGUUUUGCUCUUGUUGCCCAAGCUGGAGUGCAAUGGUGCGAUCUUCGCUUACUGCAACCUCUGCUUCCUGGGUUCAAGUGAUUCCCCUGCCUCAGCCUCCCGAGUAGCAGGGAUUACAGACACAUAUACUCACAGAAAUGAGUUAUUUAAAGAAGACGGUCCAGAUUCCACAGUCCAAAAAAAAAAGAGGUUUGCCCUGCUUCUGAAGGAGUCAGGGUAUGAAUGCAGAGGUCUUCCUGUUGGCUCACAUAUCAGAUCUUCAACGUCAACAUUAAAUGCGAGUGAUGCUUCCCCCUCUGUGAAUGUGGCUUUGGGUAUGGCUAAUCCACACCCUGCACUCUGGCCUUCAGAAGCCCAGGGAGAGAAGCCUCCCAGAAGCAACCUUCCAGAACCUUCUCCAUCCUCCCACCGACCUCCCCAGCCCCUGUCCUCUCUUUGAAUCUCGUUGUCAAGUUCUUCCCGCAGACACCUGGCUCCUUGAGGGGAGGUGCAGCUUUCAUCUGACCAUGCAGGCGUGCUUUGCAGUGGGUAGAGCAGUGCUUUCCUCCUCCCAGCUGCACACUGGAAUCACCUGGAGAGUCCAGAAACUUCCCGCCUCAGUGAAAGAACAUCAGUGUAUCAGCACAGCAAAUAUUCCAAAUGCCAGGCUGGAUUCCCUCCAAUUACCAGGACCUCCAGGCUUCUCCUCCUUUCAAGAACUUUCUGACCCUGGAUCCAGUCUAAAUGUUGGUUAUAAACUCACCUGACAUCCACAGGGCCCUUCCAAAAUACUGUCAAGGCUGACUGCUGGUGCCUGGAACCUGCACACCCUCCUGGGACUCUGCAUCUCUGCUGGGGCUGGUUUCUCCUCUGAGCCACCUUAAGGAAUCCCACCCUGACCCGGUCAGAGCUCACCAUGCCUCCCUCUCCUACUUGCUCAGCAUUUUGUGUCUAUCUAGACUGAAGCCUUUGCUUUCUCUCUGUGAUUAUGGUGAAAGUUCAGUUUGCUUUCCUAUCUCUAGAAUGUCAGCACGAAGGCAGAGGCAUGGUCUCCUGAGUUCCAUAACCCCAAAGCCUAACUCCCUGCCUGCCACACUGAGGGGCUUAGUAGACAUUGACUUACUAAAUUGAAUAGUUGAGUAAUAAUGCUCUUUGAAAUAAUUUGGAGUUAGAUCUUGAGCCUUGUGUGGCCAGAGGAUGGGUGAGGACACAUCAUAAAAACUAAAGGUAACUGAGCAUGCCAGUGGUUGGGGUGAGAAAUUUGCAUGGAGCACUCCAGACACAGAGGCAGCAAAACCCAAGUGCUGGGAAGUCAGAGUGAGAGAGUGAAGGGGCAGUGAGUGCUUCUUUAGGAGCUGGAUCAAAACCUAAGAUGAUCUGGCCACAUGGUGCAGACUGAGCACACACUUGGGAGAGAAAUGGGCCAGGAGGAGAGGAGAGAGGUUCACCACAGGACAGUGGAUGACUGGGAAUAGAAGCCCUCCCCAUGGUGGACCAAGAAGUCUGUGAAGCUGAGAGAAAGACAAAAGAAAUCACGACUUCUGUAGGUAGCUGGGAUGGAAACCUCAGGGGUGACAGGGUCUUUAAAGGAAAUCUCAAGGAAGGCAUCAUGUUCUGGGUGUGCUCCAGGGAUGCUGAGUAAGAAAAGACCAGCCUUUCUGUGUGUGUCUUUACUCUGCCACAAGGCACCUGGGCUCCUAAAUGACCAAUACACAUGUGCUAUACUGGUGCCAAGAAAGAAGGGUGUUUUGUAGGAAAGUCAAGGUGAGAGGAGGUGCCCAGGACUUGGCUCCUUUCUUUGAAGGGUGACGGUGUAAAUUCUCCAUGCUGGGGAUCCUACUGAUGGAUGGAGGCAUGUCGAUCUCAUCAUUUCACAGAGUGGGGAGCUAUGGCCACAACGUGCCUAUCACACAAGUCCAGCCUCACGUCAGCUGGACACCAGCUGUUCUGACACUUGUCAGCACAUGGGGCACCCGGAAGUUCAUGGUGUUCUGCAAAGAACGCCACAAAACAGUGAGCUCAACUUCUUGAAAGUCAUAAUGUGUUGCUAAGUCCGAUCCCAGAUCCUAAAAAUAAUAUGAGGUAGUGGCCAUUGAACAGAAAAAAUUUACAUCUUAAACUUGAAGAUAAGUACAAGUGUACCUUUUUCUACCACUGUUGUUCAGUUUUAUUAUAUUGACAAGCACCUCUGCCCACCCUGUGGGGUAAAACUGUUUGAAAGUGUUUAUGAAAGUUUUAUAUAAAUAUUGGUUGAUCAAAUGUACAAAAUAUGCAUGAUGGCACCAUAUUGUGUAUAAUAGUGACAAAUACAGUCUAUGUGGGUGGAGAAACAAGCUCGGUGUUGUGCAUGCGGCUGUGGUUUGUGUUCACACUUCUCCUUUAGAGUGUAGUAGACAGAACAUGCCUGAACUGCCUGGGGCUGAGGGGUCUCAGGCGCAGAGUGGCCCAGGAAUUCUGAGCAAGGACAGAAUGUUAGAGAGAAUAUCCUGAGCUGAGCAGAGAGGCCUGCCCAUGCUAGCUGGCAGCCACCUGCCUUCAGUGCUUCAUUCUUGGGGGACCUUGAGGCCAGUUCUUGAGUGGAUGAGUCCUGCCGCUACUGCUGCUGCCCACUUGGUAGCUCUGUCCUCAUCUGGGAAGAGCCACUGUGAACCCCAGAGACCUAGUGGUGCUAGGGGCUGAUGCAGGCAAAUGACUGGCUGCCCCUGGAUCUUAUGUGAAAACAAGAAUGCUGGACCAAAAGGUCUCUACAGGGCUCCAUGACUACCCAUGACCCGUAACUUCAGUGAGGAGCUAGUGGCCAGGAGGGGCUCAUGGUUGGACACUGGUAUUCCUCUACUCAGACCUUAAACCACAGGUUGCAAGAACAGGGAGGUCACAUGUCAGUGACCUCAUGCCUAAAUAGAUGCAUAGCACAGAGCAGAUUCCUGGAUAGCUUACACCCUACUUUCCCCAGUGCAUCGAUUAUGACUUCCUUUCUAGCAACUGUGAGUACAGCCGGGACUCAUCAAUCACACCUGUAACUUCCCAGCUGCAUUUCUCAGGGUCUCUGAAAGCAGGGCCUUCUCUGGUCUUUUUAAAUUACCCACAGACCUAGGACAGUCUUCUGCACAUACUUCUACAUUUUAAAGGCUUACUUUUAGUAUGUUUAUGUGUGUGAGAUGGGGAAUAUUGUAUUCAUGUGUGCAUGUAUAUGUCUGUGAGUACUGUGGUCUGUGUGUGUAACUGGGUAUGACUGUGUGUGUCAUAUGGAUACAGGGGACUAGAAUGAGGACAGCCAGGUGUCCAGGCUAUAAGAUCUAAGGAGGCACUUGCUCUCAGGGCCAACCCUGCCCUUGCGUGAGCCUGAGAGAGAGAGCCUCCUGGAAUUUUGCACCUUGAGUGCCUUCCUGCUUCACCCUAAUCCCCCCGGUUGUCUGUAUGUUUGGAUGUGAGUGUUGUACAUAUGCUGUGUAUGUGUGUGCAUGCAUGUGAGUGUGCAUGGGUGUGUGUCUGUAUGUCUCAGCAGCUGUCACUGGGCUUCCCAGUCCCUGUCAGCAGGCGAAGGAGGCCCCUUCAUUUCCUUGGGUCCUGCUUAUGCAGCACAGGCCACAGCAAAGGCUCCCUGGGUUGGGUCAGCCCUCACUCUAACUCAACAUGCCCUGGAAGUCACCACAGGGUCAUGGAAAGAGUCCUGGUGAUGAGAUGGAGUGUCUGCUCUGCCACAAGGGCUGUGGGACCAGGGUCGGGGCAUACCUCUCUGGGUCUCAGUUUCCUCACUGGUAAGAUGUGGCAACAGAAUCUCAUCUGUGAGCCCCCUCUAGCCUUGAACAACUCUGGAUCCAGGUAGACCAGCAUAAUGAAAGCCUAUGAAGCUUCUGAGAUGUGCGAGGCAUACAUUGUCCCAGGUACUCAAGUAACUCAAGUCUGGAAGCUGCGAGCCACAGAGAUCAAGCCUUCUCCAAAAAUUGGACUGCAAGGCAUGCCGUACAAACAGAGUGCUAGGAGACCUUGGGGAGGUGGGGAAGAGGAAGAGGAAUCAUGGACAGCUUCAUGGGGAGGUGGCUUUGGAGCUGGGAUGGGUGAGGACAGCUGGAAUGUGGGCAGCACGUGACCAAGUGCUUUGCAGACAUGGCAUGGCCCCCAGCCAGGCCCUGAGGAAAGGAGAGUCUCAGGACAGCAGCUAUGUCACUGUAAGCAGGACCCUUGAAAGCAGGUGCCACCUGCAAAAGGGGGAGCCCUGAGGCCCAGGCAGGCCUGUCACAGUGUGGGGCACCUGUCUAGACAGCCCCAUGGCCAGCAGUGGGGGUGGGCCAUGGGCCAUGGGGACCUUCCUGGUAUGGGGUACUGCCAUGUCCCCAGGGAAUAUGGGGGGCCCAGGAAGGUCCCCAAGGCUCGAAGGACCCAGGUCUUUUCAUACUGCCAAAGAGAUGUAAGGCCUACAGAGGGGAAAGUUUGCAUAUCUGUGAAGGCAUGGAGCCUAGGCAUUGGAAGUGUCCAGUAAGCAUUUUCAUUUGGCAGAAGUAUCUCCAUGGCACUUCUACCUACAGCCCUGCCACAUUUUGCCACAAACUGUCCAGCAGCCCUGAGAUGGAGCCCCAGUGUAGACCGUCAUGGAGCACACUGGCUCUGGAACAAUGAGGAGCAGACUGGAGAAAGCCAGAUGGGGUUUACCUGUCAACAGCCACAACAUAGUUGUGCUGGGGUGACUGUUCAAGAAAAAUGAACUUUGGUGCUCCUGCCGAAUGGGUUGUUAGUGUUCAGUCCUUUUCCUACCACUGAGUUGUUUUGUCUGAUCAUUCUUCCUCCUGGUUCUGCGGGUCUGCCUUCUUGAAAGGGAAGAGCAAGACUCCAGCUCCCUGCCCUGUAGAGGUGCCUUCUACCUUGCUCAGUGUUGAAGCAAAGGAGCAAAGCAAAGCUUAAGUCAGAGAUUUGGUGCUCAGCUAAUCACAGAGACUUUUAAAUGUCAACCAGGGUUUGCUAUCAGGCCAAAGCUGGAUUAUUAUUACCCAAAGUAGAAAAUUGUGAGACAGAGGCAGGUGGGGAGGGAGGGAGAGAGAAGAAAGCAGAAGGUGGAGGAUACGUGGAUUUAAUUUUUUAAAAAUAAAUAUAUGAUUCCGUGUCAAUUAAAAACAAGUACCCCAGGCAAGUCUUCCUGCAGUCCUGUCUUAGCCGCACACACAGCAUAACUGCAAACCCACUUGAGCUCAUUUUUGCUCAAAGACCAACUCUAUUAAACCCUUAGAAUGUUCUGGAUUUCAACACACAGUCCACAGACAGCCAUUCUAUCAAAAGCUUAGUGUUUUCCCUAUGACUGGGUUUUCUGGUAAGGUGAACUAAGGCAUCCUUUUCCAUUUCAGGCUGUGGUAACAGCAGAUAACAGCCGCAGAGGUCAUAGCCAGCACUUUCUAUGCGUCCCUUCAUUUAAUCCCAGUACUCCUAGGUGGUAGAUCUAUUAUUUUGUCCACAUGAAUUAUUGAAAAGUCUGUCCUAAAUUUUAAAUGGAACGAAGUACUGGGUUGCAAGUUACUGGUGGCUGUUUCACAGGAAAUACUACGACAAUGGGACUUUGGGAAUGUGUUCUGGAGACUCCACUCCUUGGUGACUACUACAUGGAGCACAGAAAAUUGUCUUGAGUGGCAGCUAUGUGCCAGGUGAGGAGACAGGUUUUACUCACAUGACUCCCCAGAAGCCCUGCAGCAUCCCCAUAUUUUAUAAAGGGGAAGUACAAGCCCAGAGAGACAUCUGACUUGACUAAGUUCACACAAAAACAGCAAGGUCUGGGCCAAGAUGGAAGCCCGGGCUUUGCCUUCUUCUUCUGCCUGCAGGGCAGGGGCUUUCAUCCUGGCUUCACGCUGAUUUCAAAAGCCUCUCAUUCUCUUGACACCUCAUGGCCCCUGAGUUUAUCCCAAGAAUAAUAAGUUCUACUGUCCUCCUGGAGAUGCCGAAGAAUCAAAACUGCAACACACAGAGGGCCUGGGUGUGCGCGAACACUGUAGUACACACCGAUGACAGCAGAUUAAGCCAUUUCUCUCUUAGGUGCGUCACCCAACCAGCUCCUGGACCCUUCUGCUGUGCUGCCCUGACAGUCACAAUAUGUCCUAGUGGACUAAUUAGCACUAACUACCCAUGUCACCCCAAGGCCAUUUAAGAAGACAAAUAAAAAAGACAAAACCAAUGAGUAUUGUGGCUGAAGAUGACGAAAAAAAGUUAAAAGCAGGGAGGAAUGAAUUAUUUUUUCUUUCUCAAUCUCUCCCUCUGCUUAAACCAAAGAGAGGUUUUCAUCUGAGAGCCCGGGAGCUAAGCAGCUACUUUCUACAUGAAAAAGUGAAAACAUUAAAAUAAAAUCCCUUUCUUUCAAGCUAACGUUCUAAAACUGAACCUCUGCAGAGGCUCCAAAAGAGAAAUGCCUUGCUUUUAAGCCCCUGAGUGAGAGGGAUCCUGAGGAAGUGGCAGAGGGGAUGAACCUAAGCUUUGGGACAUAACAACCGGCACCUCCAGUGGCCACCACUCCUAGCUAUGCUGCCUGUGGAUGGGGCCCCCAGUGCUGGCCCCUAACAGCAUGGGGAAGCCUCCCCAGCCACUCUGAAGCUGUUCGCAUCACAUCCAAGAUGAACCUAGGCAGGGAGGCUGAGUGUGCUUGGGAGAUGCCAAGUUAGGGAAGUAAGUUCCCCAGGGUCCUUCAACUUGUGGUGCCUGAGGAUAGCUGCUUUUUUUCCAGUGCAGAUGGAGACACGGCAGCCUUGGGGGGAUGUGUGAAAGUAAGGCCUCCCUCCCUCUGCCUUUCCAAGUGGCUGAUCAUCUCCUUCCUUCUCAUAGCUACUUCUAGGAGAGGCAUCCAGGCAGGAACCACUUCUCCAUUUCACAGAUGGGAAGACUGAGAACCAUACUGGAAAGGGGUGUAUUUUAAUUAAACUGGAGAGUGGGGAACACUGAUGAGGAAAGCAAGCUGAUAGACGGAAGGCUCUGCCUGUCACUGCCAGCACGGGCACUUGGGCCUUCUUAUCAAGGGUUCUGAUGGGAGUUUCCACUAGGAUUCCAGGUGUCGAUCAUCUAGUAGCCGAGUUCUGAUGAGCUGGACUUUGGGUGGUUGAGGUAGGGAGCAGUGGAAAGGGGAAUUGGAGUCUUAUCAACCUCUUUGAACACCAGUUCCUUCCCCUCUCUUCUAUAAAAAUGUCGUAGCAAUACCUGCCUGGCAGAGUUGUGAGAAUUAAAUGAGAUGAUGAAUACAUCUGCUCUCAGCACCACACCACACCUGUGGCAGUCCUCAGAGAGAAGAAUCACAGCUUUCAUUCAUUGAGAGCUCACUAAGUGCCAGGUAUGCUCAGCUCUUGUGCAGACGUUCUUUUUCUUUGGAUGUAAAUGUGACAUGGGCAGAGCAGGAGGAGCUGUGAGGCUGGCUUGGCUGAGCCACAGGGAUUGCUGGCAUCUUAUAUGGCAUUCAGGACUAUGGAGGGUCCACGGGAAGAAACACAGAAACAGAACCCAAGUAUCCUUCGGGGACUCUUGGACUUUCUUCCCCUUGAUCUUAGACAUGCCUCAGUAAACAGAUGCUGGUUUCUAUCGAGACUCAUUCCUGGGGAAGGACCCCCACCAGCCAAGCAAGGUAAAGCCCAGACUCAGUUACAUGAAUUACAGGUUUAAGACAGAAGCCUUCCUAUGAAUAUUUUUCUGGCCAGUGGCUUAUAUAAGAGAAAUUUGCUCAUUGUAUUUCUAUCUGGCCAACGAAGGGGUCUAGAGGGGCUUUCAGCAACCCAAACAGUCUUGUCAGCCCUAACUCUGGACCUAAGGAAAUAAUUAUGAAUCCUCAAGAUCCAUUUAAAAGUGUCAUUACUGUAGAUAAACAAAGACGAGUGGAUGCUUCUUCCUACUCCACCUCACUGCAGAGAUUCCAUCCAUCCCAGGGUCACUGACCACUGACUGGAUGAACUAGGAUUGGUGUGGCAGAGUGGAGUUUUCAGGAGCCAAGAGACUCCUGGAUUGUCAUGCUCUGUACUCCUUCCCCACGAAAGGAAUGUCUAGAACUCCUGCUGAAAGUAGUCAUUGCCUGCAUUUCCUAGGCAGAAUGUGUUAGCUCCCUCCCCAGAAGAACCUGGGCGAAGAAGGUGUUCCAAUCUGCAUUUGGAAAGAAUCCCUCCCGCAAAGAACUCUACACCCUCUAAGAGAAGAUAACGUGAGGGCAUAUUCUCCUCUCUUAGAGGGUGUUUUCAAUACUAAAUUCUAUCUCUGAAGAGAAUGAGGACCCGAAGGGGGGCAGUGCACCA
ensembl:lncRNA PAX8-AS1 PAX8 antisense RNA 1